GAUGAACGCUGGCGGCGUGCCUAAUACAUGCAAGUCGAGCGAAGCGUGGACGGGUGAGUAACACGUGGAUAACCUCCUAUAAGACUGGGAUAACUUCGUGAAACCGGAGCUAAACCGGAUACUUAUAGAUGGAUCCGCGCUGCAUGAGCUAGUUGGUAAGGUAACGGCUUACCAAGGCAACAAUGCAUAGCCGUCCUGAGAGGGUGAUAGGCCAUAAUGGAACUGAGCCACGGUGCAGACUCAUACGCGGGGCAGAAGUAGUGAAUAUUCCGCGAGUGGCGCAAGCCUAACGGAGCAACGGCCCGUGAGAGAAGAAGGCCUUCGGCACGUAAAACGCUGUUAUGAGGGAAGCGGUACCUAGUCAGAAAGCGCCGGCUAACUACGUGCCAGCAGCCGCGGUAAUUC
rnacentral:rRNA from 1 species